UGGGGGAUAGCCCGCCGAAAGGCGGAUUAAUACCGCAUAUACCGGCAGCCUGGCAUCAGGGAACUGGGAAAGAUUUAUUGGUCAAGGAUGGGGUUGCGUAGCAUUAGCUAGAUGGCGGGGUAACGGCUCACCAUGGCGACGAUGCUUAGGGGACCUGAGAGGGUGAUCCCCCACACUGGCACUGAGAUACGGGCCAGACUCCUACGGGAGGCAGCAGUAGGGAAUAUUGGGCAAUGGCCGAGAGGCUGACCCAGCCAUGCCGCGUGCCGGAUGAAGGCCUUCUGGGUUGUAAACGGCUUUUCUCAGGGAAGAAAAAGAGGAUGCGUCCUAAACUGACGGUACCUGAGGAAUAAGCACCGGCUAACUCCGUGCCAGCAGCCGCGGUAAUA
rnacentral:rRNA from 1 species